AACGUAGGACACGAGCGUUAUCCGGAGUUACUGGGCGUAAAGGGCGGGUAGGUGGUGCGAUAAGACUGGUGUGAAAGCCUUCGGCUUAACCGAGGGAGGACACUGGUGACUGUCGGACUUGAGGCAGAUAGAGGGGUGUAGAAUUCCGGGUGUAGUGGUGAAAUGACGCAGAUAUCAGGAGGAACACCGGUGGCGAAGGCGGGUCUCUGGGCCGAUACUGACGCUGAGGAGCGAAAGCGUGGGGAGCGAACAGG
rnacentral:rRNA from 1 species